CUUGUACUAAGGUUAGUUCAAUUUGGUUGUCGAGUAUUAGUCCGUCUGUAGGAGUUUCCUUUCCUGCUCUUAAGCCUCAAAUUACUGAUAAGUCGACUAAACGUCCCAUCAUUGUUGGUGUUGUUCUUGAUUGUUAUUUUUUCGGGAGCUAGAAGAACUCUGUACCCAUUCGGCAAAUUCCUCAGUGUGCUCUCGUGGGUGCGUGGUAAAUGUCCAUGUAUAUCGCUCAGUUAGAGUUUUUUAACGGGCAAGCACCGGACCGUAUGAAUAGCUUCAGAUGAAGUUCAUAUUGUGAUGGUUUGGAAGGCAGAGUUGGUAUUAACUGAUUUUUUGUUGCAUAAGAUGUUUACUUCGUCUGAAUUUGAUGGGAUUAGUUCGUUAGAACCCGGUGCUGGAACUGUUAUGUAUCUUUAGUCUACAUGUUGGUUAAUUUAUAGUAGAAGCUCUCACAGUACUUGGAGAGUUCAAGCCGUACGGCUUAACAGCUGAAGCUCUCGACGGCAAGCCUGAAUAUAACAAUGUCGCCGCCGAUACGUACGACUACUUCCUUUUUGACCCCGAAAUUGUCCGAGACCAAUGCAAACUCAACGAUUCCGAUAUUUACGAGUCUCCUUUUAGUGAUCAGUGUGAUCAUGAGCUCUUCAUUUGAGGAAACACGAUAAUAUGGUCGAUUGGCUCGCGAGUUUUCAAGAGAUUCACGUCUCUUUCUCCGGUUAAAAUGACGGAAGUCAACUUUCUGGGGCAACUUAGGCAUCCUAAUCUGGUUAAGUUGAUUGGAUAUUGUUGCAAGGAUGAUCAUAGAUUACUUGUUUAUGACUUCAUGUUCAGAGGAAGCCUCGAGAAUCACCUUUUUCAAAGUGAAUUAGUAUCAAUUCCCGUUCUCUGUACUAUUACUUCAAUGUGGCCUUUUCCAUUUGGUUUGUUACUUCAGCCAGCAGCUGAAGGAAGUACAUCAACCCAACCUACAUUUUUAUCAGCAUGUCCUUUAUCAGAUACGCGUGAUAUUUUCCGCUCUCGGAAAGAUAUUGGUCAGAGUCCACGACACAAUGUCACUUUUAUGGCUAUAUUGUCCUCGCAUCUGAUUCUGAAGGAUUUGCUGGAAGAGCCACAGGUAUGUGUAUGUUCAAAGAGCAAGAACUUCGGAACGAGACUUAAAAGGCUACCAAGAAUCUUAUAGAGAAAUUGGAGUUGGCUUGUUCCCAGAUGUUGGAUUUUUAUAUUUAGCUGCACAUAGUCUCGGAGAAAGGAUCAAUUGGUAUAUUUCUUAAAUUUUUCUACUCUGACUCAUCAUGUUAUCAUUUGUGAACCUGCUCUAUGAUUUGAUUAGAGGAAUUGAUCUUUACUCAAACAAUAAAAGUUGUCAAAUUCAUUCCUACCUUAAGGUGAAAUGCAUAAAUUAGAACAGCCUUUUAUGUUACACUCUUCUUUUUUGUCAGAGUUUGAAAUUUUUUCCUGCUUGCUGGAUUAUCAUUCUUCUUUACGAAUUCAUAGUAUUGAGAUUGUUGGUCUUUGAAAUUUUAUAAUAACUA